ACCCUAAACCAAUUUCCGUACACCUCUAAGCUAGACGCACCCCCCUUCUGAUUUUUCAAUCUCUUUUCUCUCAACUGGAGGAGACAAAAAACGGACACCACACAAAAAGGGAACAAAAAUCACCUUAGAGCUAAGGCAAAAAUGGAGCUGCUCUUCUUUUUCCUCCUCAAAAAGCAGCCACAAAUUUCAUCUUAAACCACCCAAACUCAUGUCAGUAAAUACCCAUAAAUUCACUGUCAAAAUAGUCUUAAACCACCCCAAAUUAGUCCUUCUCCUUCAUCCAAAAUCAGCUCCUUAAAGCUCACAAAAACAGCCCCCAAACUAGCCUAUAAAACGAGCCAAAAACCAUUUCAAAAAAUACUCAAAAAUAGCAGGGAAAAACAGUACCAAACGGUCCUAAAAUUGGCCUGAAAUUACCCAAAAUAGCUCCAAGCACGAGCUGAAAAGCACCUCCCAAACCCAGCUGGAAAACAGCCCCCAAAAGCCCUAAAUUUCAGCCAAAAACUGACCCCUUUACGCACAAAAAACAACAGCCUCAAGGUUGAGCUCGAGUCCGUCGAGGUCGGCAUGGAAGUUCUCCGAUCGAUGGUUCCUGCUGGUUGAGUUCACUUGUUGCUCAUUUUGGUCGUUGUCUCAUUUGGUCUAUUGAGUUACAAGCUCUCAACUUCAGAUUCAUUAAUAAAGUCCUUAAAAGAAGACUUACAAAACUAGCACUGUUGAUGCAAACUCAUCUGCCAUACUGCGGGCAAAAGAAGUUCCAGCAAAUUUGCCCUCUCAAUUUCCUAGUUUUGUCAAGUAUAUGCUCCAUUCACAUGUCAGUCGUGGACUUUGGUUGUUGUUUGUAGAAGCGGGUUCGAGGUCGGAGCUCAAUAGUGCAUCUAAGAUCCGCACCUCAGUUCACUGCCCUGCAAAAGGUCGGUAUCUUUCUUCUUGUUUCGCUUCUGGAAUUUUAGUGUUUUAAUGUUUCAGUAUCUAGUUGGCAAUGAGCUCUUAAUUUAUUUAUUUUUUGAUUAAUUAUCUGGGAUGUUUCUUGUCGAUUUCUGAUUAGUUAAUAUGGAUGAAAGGCUCGUAUGCUCUGUUGUAAAAGAAAUACUAACUUUUAUAGGUUAACUGAUGUAUAUUUCCUUAUUAUAAGGUUACCCGGCCUUAGAUUUUGUUUGAAACUUAGAGACCAUGCUUAUAAAAUUUAAUUAGCUCUGAGCUAGUCGCAAUCAGUCCCUUUUAGUUACUGUCGAAAGCAAAUAAUACAAUACAAGCCAAGUAAUCCUCUCUUAUUGUUACACUAGGCUGAAGGCUUAUUUAUAGUGUUUGCACCUGUUAGUGACCUGUUAUGACUGGAGAAUUUCAUGUGUUUUAACGGAACUGAUUUUCGAGAUCCUUUCUUAAGAUGGUGUCAUUGAAGUAUAGAAAAUGUGGCUAUAAGUUAGUUUGGUUUACCGGACAAAAUAUCUACUAUAGAUUUUGACAUAAGGUUCUCUUCAUGUUAUAACUUAAUAAAGAUCUAAGCUAAAUGACCAUUAAACAAUAGUAGUGUUUAGUCUCGUUGAAAUCUCGCCAUAUAGACUUAUCUAGGGAUCGCAUUUGCUGUUAUUGUUUGGCCUAAACAUAUGAACAUUUAUCCCCUUUCAUGUUUGUACCUGAAACACCAACUUGUGAAGCCUUCAUGGAUCUUUUAUAGUUUGUUUGUUAAGAUCCUUAAUUAAAAACUCAUGCUUAUGUGGUGUGCUUGUUUGUAAAAUACAAGAAGCUCUUCACUGUUUCUCAUAACUGAUCCAUGUAAGCAACCUCCACUUCCAAUCAAGAGGUUGUGAGUUCGAGUCUCCCCAAGAGCAAGGUGAGAAGUUCUUGGAUGGAAAGAUGUCGGGGGUCUAUUAGGAAAUAGCCUCUCUACUCCAGGAUAGGGGUAAGGUUUGAGUACACACUACCCUCCCCAGACCCCACUAAGUGAGAUUAUAUUGGGUUGUUGUUGUUGUUGUUGAUCCACGUGUGUGUCCUCCUAUUCGUAGCAUUGAUGUUGUCUUUAUUACAUGUAGUAUGAUUGUCUAAUUAUGAUGUAGAUGAAACCCGUUAGCAUGUGUUUAUUAAAUAACCUUGUAAUUUUUUGCUGUCGUAAUCUCUUAUACCUUUAAGAAUUAAGUUUAAGUGUUGUUAAUGGCUUAAAGAAGUGUAAAUCCCACUUUGUUUGUUAGGUUGAUCUAAAAGGGAAAAACUUCAAAAAGGCACUUAGAGCGCUAUUUUAAAAUGGAAUUGCUUAUAUGUAGCAUACUACUGUUUGUUUCGUUCUAUUUCGUGGAAUAUUUCAGAUUUGAGGAGAUAAUUGUCAUUCUUGACUUGUAUGUUUUAUCGUCACAUAUAAUAAAAAUUAAGUUUUUCUCUAAUUCUCUUUUCUUCUUCUUUCCUUUUGCAUAUAUACGUGGAGCAAAAAAUGGAGUCUCACUCGAGACUCAGCACUACCCGAGCAUGGAGUCAUCAUAUCGCAUAUUCCUAUAAAUGCACCGGAUAGGGAAAAAACAAGCGAAAGCGUUCUUUUUUUUGUGUUAUCAUUCAUUUUAUCUAUCUUCUUUUUAUGGUUUAUUUAUUUGUGUGUUUGGGAUUUGUCUUACACUUAGCAUAAGAUUAACAGUGAAGUCUAUUUAAUCAUCCAGGAUCCUGGUCUUAUUAUUAAUAAACCUUUUUUUCAUCA